GGGAUUAGAUACCCGGGUAGUCCACCCCGUAAACGUUGGGAACUAGUUGUGGGGACCAUUCCACGGUUUCCGUGACGCAGCUAACGCAUUAAGUUCCCCGCCUGGGGAGUACGGCCGCAAGGCUAAAACUCAAAGGAAUUGACGGGGACCCGCACAAGCGGCGGAGCAUGCGGAUUAAUUCGAUGCAACGCGAAGAACCUUACCAAGGCUUGACAUAUACGAGAACGGGCCAGAAAUGGUCAACUCUUUGGACACUCGUAAACAGGUGGUGCAUGGCCGUCGACAGCU
rnacentral:rRNA from 1 species